rnacentral:misc_RNA from 1 species
GAAAAAAUGAAUCCAGAAAAUGCAGUCGGGAGCAAUCAAUUUUGCUGCGUAACAGAUACCGUUGCCAAACACAUCCAGAACAUUUAGCGACGAUUUGUUUUGCGGCGCCCCAACUAUCAGAAAAAUAAUGAAAUUAUCUUGUCGACGGAAUAGCUAAGUGCCGUCGCUAAAUACUAACACCGUUGCCAAAUAAAGAUUACCGUUGAAUGUUAAUUGGUACUCACAAAAUUUCAUUUACUCCUUAAAGUACAAUCGAGGAGGAAUACAUACUGGAAGAGCAUGAUCUCAUUAAACAAAAUUUAAAA